CAAAAAAAAAACACUCAUCUACCACUGAGCAUUCAUUUAACUCAAAAGGAAGAUAAAACUGAGACUUCCUCAAAAUAACAUUUAAAGUAUGUAUAUAGUUUCAUAUUAUACAAAAAUACCCUGAUUAAAGGCUUAGUAGUCCCUGUCCUAAACUGAGAACAUUUGUAAAGAAUGCUUUUCAGGAAUUUUCCAGAACGCAAAAACACAAAUUAGAAAGUCAUAAAAUAAAUAGACCAAUAUUCAAGGACCUGCUGGCUGCUCUUGGCUGGGUAAAGAUCAAGGUAAAUUUUUCAAAAAUGAAGAGAAUACAAGCCGGCCUCAGCAAAGUUCUCCUCAUGAUGACUAAGCCCGACUAACCAACAAAACAAACCUCUUCAGGAUUUUAAAUUGUUUGCUGUAAAACCCUCCACUGUAGCUGCGAUCAAAAUGUGUUUUGAACUGGAGUUGAAAGUGUAAGAGCAACAUUAUUUUACUGCAGUUCUCCUGUUUUUGUUUUAAAGUGAACUUUCUCGCUUUUAUUUUGAAAACCGGAAGUGCGCACGGGUCCAGCUUCUGCCAGAGCUUUGAACGCAGACGGGGGUAUUCCCGGUCCCGGCUGCCAGUGUCCUCUCCCCUCAACCGGAUAAAGCAGAUGUCCGCUCCCUGAGAUCGCCAGUUGUGCUGUCAAAGCCCUUCCACAACCAAAGAGGAAGAAGACGGAUACAAACUUACGUUUCAUGGAAGCACAACUUCCAUACACGGACACCUGAAACAGAAGCAUCCGGCGGUCUUGCCGUCUUCCUCUCUUUGAGGUCUGGAAAUGUCUGAAAAAGACAUUGGAAACUUCAGUAACUACAGUUGGAGUUAUGUCUAUAAAUGGCCAACGAUUGGGGGGAUCUGUGAACAUUUCCAGGGGAGACUGACUGGCUACUGGAAGAAUGAAUCCAAAAGGGGUUGUUGUCUCACCUCCUCUCCCUCUUUGUCAUGCCGGUCGUUGGCGUGGUCGGCCACGUUGGACAGGAACUCCAGCAGACGGUAAAGAGUGUCACUGUUGCAGGCAGGAAGAUAACAACUUUGGAUUUGGACUCAAUGUCUAGACUGCAGCACCUCGCCUUCCAACAAAACUGACACCAGAGUGCAGAACCAACAGGGACAAAAAGGCAGCUGUAUGGAUUUUCAGUCAAUGAGAACCUCCAGUCACAUCAACAGCUCAGUUAAAUAAAUAAAUUAAAAAAGCUGACCCACUCCGAUCACCUUUUGAUCCAUUUUCAAAUCAUUCUUUUAAUUACGAUAAAGCAGUUUUUAGCCAAAGUCCAAAAACCUUUGAGGACAUAGUUUCUGUAGAGUGGCAGAAGUUCAACAGAAAUUGUCACUGAGCCAGACCGCCCCCACUUCCAGUCACUCAUCUGUUCACACGCUCUCCUGCUAGCUUACAGCCCCUCACAUUCCUAAUCUAAAGCUAUGUUCAACACUUCCAAUGAACAGUAUCAAUAUGUAAAACUCUCACCUUACGCUCAGUUACAGACAUUUUUAAGACCAUAUUCAGGCUUUAUGUACAACAGCCAUUGACUAUGCGUUGAAAGAUAAACCAGUUGAACUUUGACCAAUCAGGGACUUGGAUUUGGUAGUGACGUAUGGACGAUCUCCCUUUUAAUCAAUGGAAGUGCCAGCCAUUCGAAAACUGAUCAUGGAGGAGAAAUUAAUAAUUGUGGUUUGUGGCCGAACAAAAUUAUAUGAAACAAAGUCUUUCAUAUAUCGAAUAGAGCCGUGAAAGAAAAACCCUAACACAAAUUUGCAAGAUUUGAUAUUUUGCACCAAACCGCUUCUAACUGUAGGUAUUGGACAUGCACUAGUGAACAGUAGAAUGUGCGUCAUAUGACGUAGUGUGAACCAUUCACUGUAUAAAAUGAACUGGACUGAGUGACCCCUCCCUUGUGGCGUUCCAAAUAUGAAGUACCUAAAAAUCCCAUAGACUUCUAUUGUAAAAUAAACAGCUAUUACUGAGUCAUAUUAUUAGAAUACUUAUUCUCGCUCUACUACCUGUUUUUAACAUGUUCUCGCUAAUCCUGUUCGUUUUUCAUGAUAUUUUAGCUAUAGUGCAAGUUAUUCAAGUUAUAAACUGACCAAUCAAAUGUCUCAGAUGA